rnacentral:rRNA from 1 species
CCUACGGGAGGCAGCAGUGAGGAAUAUUGGUCAAUGGGCGGAAGCCUGAACCAGCCAAGUCGCGUGAGGGAUUAAGGCCCUGCGGGUCGUAAACCUCUUUUGCCGGGGAGCAGCGGUCCGGACGUGUCCGGGCCGGGAGAGUACCCGGAGAAAAAGCAUCGGCUAACUCCGUGCCAGCAGACGCGGUAAUACGGAGGAUGCGAGCGUUAUCCGGAUUUAUUGGGUUUAAAGGGUGUGUAGGCGGGCAUUUAAGCCGGCGGUCAAAUGUCGGGGCUCAACCCCGGGCUGCCGUCGGACCUGGGUGCCUUGAGUGGGCGAGAAGUAUGCGGAAUGCGUGGUGUAGCGGUGAAAUGCAUAGAUAUCACGCAGAACCCCGAUUGCGAAGGCAGCAUACCGGCGCCCUACUGACGCUGAGGCACGAAAGUGCGGGUAUCGAACAGGAUUAGAUACCCGUGUAGUC